CAAAAAUAUCACUCGGUCUCCAAUUUUUGAAACCGAGCUUUCUUCUCUCUCUCUUGCGUCCGAAACCGGAGGAAAAACAGAGCAAGCUUUCCCGGUCGAGUUCUCCACCCUCCGGCCACCGUUUGACGCCAAAUCACCUCCCUUGCCUUCGCCUCGACGCCGCCUGCCUUCCGGGCGUGAUUGUUUCCGCCGGCACAGCCUCAAAACCCGGUGAAACGGAGUUGCAGACCUUGAAGCAAAAACGGUCAACCCCGUUUUCCUCCUAGCUCCGGCCACCAAAACUUCCGAUCCUUAGCUCCAUGAACUCGCCUCAACUUGCUGAUCAUCAUACUAGAAGGAUCGCACCUGGAGUGACCGGUUUCACGUUCGUCGGAGCUCGGUCGGUUUUCGAUCCGAAACGAAAAUCUUUCGAUCGGGAUAUCUCGAGCUGUAGUGCAUCGUUUUGAUUGAUUCUUUUUCCAGUGGGUUCGACUUGAUGUUCUUAACAACUAUCUAGAAGGAAUUAAGGCCUGAAAUUGAAGUUUUUACGUCGAAAAUUGAGCUCGCCGGUUUCUGGAAAUUCUCGCCGGUUUCUGGAAAGUUUCCGGCCACAUUCAUACUGUUCAAGGUGAUUGACGGUCUUCCUUGGGUGAGCGGUUUCGGUGUGUAUUGUGUUGAAGUGAAGACGCAGCGGGACUAGAGCGGGUAAUCCUGUAGGUCAGGAGAAUCAGGGCGGUGAUCGUGCGGGUUAGAGCAUUUGUUAUAAUUUUACAGCAAUUGUAAUAGUGAGGUGAGUUAAGCUCAUUUGAGCCUUGCAAUUUGAUUUGGUGAGAGUGUGCUGUAAUAAAUAACUUGAGAAUGUGGUUUAUUGUAUUAUUGAGAGGUGUGAAGUGUGGUUGUUUUUGAGAAAAAAAUUCAGGACGUUGGUUUGUAAUAGUUAUUAUUCAUGUUUCGGAUUUGAAUUGUUUAUUCAAAAUUCGGGGCGUGACAGUUUGGUAUCAGAGCGUAAGGUACAUAUUUGGUGAUGUGUCAAUACCUUCCGAGUGAUGGCCCGUCUGCAGCGGAUCCCCAUCGUGUGCUCUUCGGUAUUGGCUAAGUCAUUGGGUAUGUGUGAGUGUUGGGAGUUGUUUAGGCCGCUAGGUCGUUUUAGGAACGUGAAUACCUUCCCUGUAGUAUUGACUUGGUUAAUAUGGACUUGUAUUUGACUUAUACUGUGUUUUAAGUGUUAUACGUGUAUUAGCCAAUCAUACUAUGCAUCUUAGGUAAUAGAUAUUCGAAGGAGUAGUACUUAGGACCAUAAGUUGUUUUGGAGGUUCGUAUUAGAAUAAGUUCAGUUGCCGUGAGUUGUAAUCUUUAGGGAAUGGAAACCUCUAGAUUUAACUCUGAUGAGUCAGUGAAAAUUGUUUUAUGGAUGUGAGGUUCUUUUGGAUGUUGAUGUGUUUGGUUAAAGGCAUGAUGUUGGCCUAGGCAUGUACCUUGUGUGGUUAUGAGUAUAAACUGGUAAAAAUUUUACCUUCUUAAGGUGGACGUACAGAUGUUUUGAUGGGACGUACGUAUCAAGGAUUUGAUAUCUUAUUUAGUAUCGAGAUGUCUUAGUGGAGUUGAGUGAUUGACUUGGGAUAUAUGUUUAAAGUGGCUUUGAGGUAGCUAUGCUAAUUUUGUGUGAGAUUGAGUAUUAGCGGAGAUUGGGAAUCUAUGAGCAGUUGGGAUGAGUUUGUUGUGGUAGUUAUCAAGUGUGUUUAGUACAAGUUAGUUGGUUCCUUCUAGUGCUGUGCCUUUUGUACACUGGCCUCCUAGAACUUUCCUUGCGUAUUCGAUUGGUUAACUGAUUUACGCCUAUCCCUAGUGAUGGUAGAGUAAACCUAUUCUACAGUUUUGAGUUGUGCUACCAAAUGUGAUUCGAGGAAAAUGUUUUGAGUGUCUUUUCCUCUUAUCAACAAGUUGUUGGGGCAGGGAUUUAGGUGGGGGAACCAAAGUUCGAAGUUUUGGGUUGGAGUGAUUGAGACAAUAUUUUUGGGUGGUCUCUGAGUACUAUAAUUGUUUUGAAAUCAGGGUUGUUGGUAGGAAUGGAACUAGUGGUAAGUUUUUGUUGAAGCAAUUGAUUGAUGAAAUAGUUGAGAUUUUAUAUGUGUUGUAAGUGUAACUCUAAGGAUGUGGGUUUUCCUAGUUAACUCAGGAAGCGCUUAAUUUUAUUAAUUCCUAAUUCUAGCGACGGAAUUGUUUGUGUUUGGUUUGACUCAAAUGAUGCUUGCUAGACCACUGUGUGACUGAAUUGAUUGUUGGGUUUGGAAUUGAUUGUUUGUGAUACUUUUUUAUGAACGACGCGUGCGGCAGAGUCGGCUAGGGUUUUGAAAGAGCAAGGAGUGGCCAAGGUUCGACCCUUGGUGUCGUUGUUGGUUGUUGAAAGGAAAAGACGACAUGCAUUCAAUCUUAUUGAUUUAAUUAUAUUACAAAAAUAAGCAAACAGAGGACUACACUAUUCUAAGCUAGGUCAGCAGCUCCAGAUGGGUUGAGGCUGAGCUCAAGAGAAACAGGAGAGCCACUGUUGUAACCGCCUGAGCCACCGGAAUAGUAACCGUAUGCACUACCUUCCUCGGAAGUAGUUUUCGGGUUACCAAGGACGUCCUCACCGUGCACGGGGAACAGAGGAAGAGUCUCGACCUCCUGGUGAUCUCCUCCUCGACGUUCCAUGAAAGAUUGUCCUCUUGUUGUGCCAAAAGAGAUAGUACUGGUAUUAGCAUUGAAGGGUGAGAAGGAGUUUGGGUCAACGCCAUAGCUGACACGUGACCCAAGGGUUAGAUCGAUUGAUCCAUCAUCACUAGUUGAACCAGUGGAACCAAAGUGUAGAUCAAUGGACCUACCAUCAUCAGUAGAACUUGUGGAUCCAAAAUUCAGAUCGAGAGAUCCACCAACCCGAACUUUCUGAAAUUCCUUCAACUUCUGCCUGUCACGAGCCUUGAGGUUCUGGAACCAAAAGAAGACGUUCUUGUCCUCGAUCUGCCCAUACGGUUUCAGAUGAAGACAGAUCUCUUGAAUCUGCUCUGGAGUUGGGUACUUGUGACCCUUGUCAUAGUAGAGCCCCUGAAGGAUUCUUAGUUGAGCUGGUGUGGGAGUCCACCGGUUAGUAGUCGGCCUGAUAGGCGUGUUGGCACUACUCCCGGCUGCUUGGUUGUUUCCUCCAUCCUCGACUUGUUGCUGGGCUUGUAGUUCCAUUUGUGGUUGGGUUUGAAGCUCCAUUAGUUGCAGAGUUCGUGAUUCCAUGGUGAUGGGUUGAGGGGAUGUGAAAAUAGAAGAUUAAAGUUGUUGAAUGUUUGAGGGAGAUUGUUGUUAAAGGGAUUAAGGUUGAUGAUGGGGUGUUGGGGAUCUGAAGUUCUCAGAUGAAGGAAGAGGUUGAGUCUUCAGAUGGAAGAAAAGGAUCUGAGAGAGAAUGAUUGAAGAUUGGUGAAGGAAAUAUUGGAGAUUUGAGAAGAGAAGGCUGAAGAGUUUGAGAGAGAAUGGCUAAAGCUCGGAAUGAAAUUCUUUUUCUUUGGAGUGAACAGUCGCUCCCUCAGAAUGCACCUAUUUAUAGAACGAGGUGAGCAGAUCUCCACCGUUGGAUGGACGAUCUCUGUAAUUCAUUCUACGCGUUGGAUUAAAGUUGCCCGAAAACACGGAAAAGCUGUUGGCGCGUGGAGAGCGUGUAAGGGGACCGAGGGAAUCUCGAGGCGCUGUGGCAGACAGCUUUAGCCGAAAGUAAAAUUUGACUGCCGUAAAUCACGGAAGGGAUAAGCCGUGGCAAGUGGGCCGUACUUGGGCCUGUCUCGGAUCAAGGCCAUCACUGUAGCUGUGGGUGGAAGCCUGAUAGGCCGAGUUUCAGAAACAGUUUUGAAUAUGAUGGGCCGAGUUUCAGAAACAGUUUUGAAUAUGAUGGGCCGAGUUUCAGAAACAGUUUUGGAUAUGAUGGGCCGAGUUUCUGAAACAGUUUUGGACAUGAUGGGCCGAGUUUCUGAAACAGUUGUGGAUAUGUUGGGCCGGAUUCUGCAACAGUUUUGGAUGAGUUUGGCCGGAUUUCUGUAACAGUUUUGGAUGAGUUGGGCCAGAUUGCUGUAACAGUUUUGGAUACGUUGGGCUGGAUUUCUGCAACAGUUUGGGUGUUUUGGGCCGAUUUGUUGAAACAGUUUGAAACCGCUUGGUUUAAAUAAAAGGAUUAGUAUGGAUAAUAACGUGAGCAGCUUGUGCUCGAGUGGUUGAGUGUAGAGUUCGUGUACAAGAGGUCUGAGGUUCGAACCUCGCCUCUCAUUUAUUUUUAUUAUGUUCGUUAUGACAUAAUAAGUAUAAAAUUUGUACACAUUAUAUUAAGCACAGCUUGUGCCCCAGUGGUUAGGAGCAAGGUUUUUGUGCAGCAGGUCAAGGGUUCGAAACCUUGCAUUCCCUUGUAUUUAUUUUUAUGUCGCUUUUGACAUAAUAAAUAUAACACAUGUGCAUAUAUUAAUGAAAGCAGCUCUUGCUUCAGUGGUUGGGAGCAAAGCCUUGGGGUAUAGGGUCGGGAGUUCGAACCUUACCUCUUACAAAUAUUUUUGGAUCUUGUAUAUGCUCGAUAUACGGAUGUAUAUACGAUCAGUACAGAAUACGUACAUUAUGUAGAGCUUCAUACUGUAGCCGAGCCGAUUGCAGCCAAACAGUAUGGCUGAGCCGAGCCGAGUAGGAGGUUUAUGGGCCGAAUUUUUGGCCCAAUUGGGUUUGGGCCGGUUCGAAAUGUGGUUGAUUCGGUUUCUUUGGCCCAAGUGGCCCAUAUUGAAUAAGAAGACGUUGCGAAGGUGUCUAAUUAUCUUUUUUCUUUAAAUUCUUGAUUUAGUGCAGCGUUGUUUUUCCACACAUUGCCUUGUGAGAGUGGUCACUGUACUUGUAUGUCAGUACGAGGUGACGAUUAGUGUGAAAAUAGCUUUUUGUGCAAUACCACGUGGUGAAUUGAGUGUGUGUUGCUUGAGGCAAUUGUUGUGUUGUAAUUUUGUGAAUGUGGAGUGCGAAAGAAUGUUGUAUUGUUGAAAUUGUGUUGAAUUGAUUUAGUGGCUAUGGGGAUGUAUUUUUAUACAUAGAACCGUAUCUCUUUAGAUUUCUAUAGUUUUGAUAAAGUUGGAGAUAGUAUAGUCAAGCGUGGUAGUUGAAGUAAGAAUUGUGGUGAUCAAGUUGGGUGCUUGGUUAGUGUUCUGUAUAAUUUACAGAAAACUUUAAUCGAAGAAAUGGACUCACGAUUAAAUUUCGGGGCGAAAUUUCUUUAAGGAGGGUAGAUUGUAAUACCCCGAAAAUCCAAAUUAUUUUCCGAGGACAUCUUAGAAUGAUUUCGAGGUCAUGGGAGAUUGUACGAAGCUUGGAGAAGUGUGGAAGUAGUUCGAUCGAUUUUAUUUCAAAAUCGUACGUAUUUAGGGGCGUCUCAAAAAUUGACUUUUUAUAUGUACCAAAUUUGGGAAAACUUCCUUCAUGAAAGUUGUAGAGCUCGUCGAUACGAUCACGUGCAUAUGCGGAACACAAAAAUCGGAGUUCGUAUGAAUUAGUUAUGAUUUUUUGAAGGUAUUUCCAGUUUAAUAUAAAAGCUUCUAUUUCUGGCAUUUUCCAAAAAUAUCACUCGGUCUCCAAUUUUUGAAACCGAGCUUUCUUCUCUCUCUCUUGCGUCCGAAACCGGAGGAAAAACAGAGCAAGCUUUCCCGGUCGAGUUCUCCACCCUCCGGCCACCGUUUGACGCCAAAUCACCUCCCUUGCCUUCGCCUCGACGCCGCCUGCCUUCCGGGCGUGAUUGUUUCCGCCGGCACAGCCUCAAAACCCGGUGAAACGGAGUUGCAGACCUUGAAGCAAAAACGGUCAACCCCGUUUUCCUCCUAGCUCCGGCCACCAAAACUUCCGAUCCUUAGCUCCAUGAACUCGCCUCAACUUGCUGAUCAUCAUACUAGAAGGAUCGCACCUGGAGUGACCGGUUUCACGUUCGUCGGAGCUCGGUCGGUUUUCGAUCCGAAACGAAAAUCUUUCGAUCGGGAUAUCUCGAGCUGUAGUGCAUCGUUUUGAUUGAUUCUUUUUCCAGUGGGUUCGACUUGAUGUUCUUAACAACUAUCUAGAAGGAAUUAAGGCCUGAAAUUGAAGUUUUUACGUCGAAAAUUGAGCUCGCCGGUUUCUGGAAAUUCUCGCCGGUUUCUGGAAAGUUUCCGGCCACAUUCAUACUGUUCAAGGUGAUUGACGGUCUUCCUUGGGUGAGCGGUUUCGGUGUGUAUUGUGUUGAAGUGAAGACGCAGCGGGACUAGAGCGGGUAAUCCUGUAGGUCAGGAGAAUCAGGGCGGUGAUCGUGCGGGUUAGAGCAUUUGUUAUAAUUUUACAGCAAUUGUAAUAGUGAGGUGAGUUAAGCUCAUUUGAGCCUUGCAAUUUGAUUUGGUGAGAGUGUGCUGUAAUAAAUAACUUGAGAAUGUGGUUUAUUGUAUUAUUGAGAGGUGUGAAGUGUGGUUGUUUUUGAGAAAAAAAUUCAGGACGUUGGUUUGUAAUAGUUAUUAUUCAUGUUUCGGAUUUGAAUUGUUUAUUCAAAAUUCGGGGCGUGA